AAAAAAAAAAAAACAUAUUGUAGUCAGCUGUGCGGCGAUGUUCCGCUCAUGUGGGUCAAAUGAGAGAAGAAAUAUAAAAUGAAAAAAAAAAAGUGGCGAAUAUUACGCAACUAUAUAAUUAUUGUUAUACACAGUUAUAGGUGUACACAAAUCCUUCGUGAUUUUAGUAUUUAGCUCGUCAGAUUAUUCUCUCGGAUCGAGAAAUAUUCGUGAUUGGUUUAUACCUAUUUUAUAUCAUGCUCGACGAUCAAUACGAUUUAUCAGACGAAAAUCUUCGUAGUUUGACCGCAGGAACGUAUCACUCUAAUCAAAUUGUAAUUGGCGAACGGUUCGUACGGCUCAAAACGACUUCCGGAAAAUUUAACGGAAUAAAAUGUAGGCCUAUCAAAUACACGUAUUAUAUACAUGACCCGAUAUCAUUAGUCUUAUAAAAAACUUUUCAAAUGUGUUCAGAGUAUACGUUUUUAAAUACCUUGUAUAAAUUAUAUUCGAAUGCUUUUAAAAGAAAGUAUUCGAUUAAAAUACAAAUACAUAUUAAAAAUGUUAAAAAUACUUCCAUUUCAAUUCGUUUGGUAUGCCUUAGAAGAUUCCUGCAUUAAACAAAAUUACAAAUAAACACUUAGAGUUAUUCAUUUAAAUAUAGGUUCAGGAAUUCCAGAUAUUACACAUUAUUUUAGCAUAGUAUUAUUUAAUCAUAUUUACUACUAAAUGAGCUUAUUAGGUUGACUUUAGUUAGAUAUGUAUCAUAUCAUAGUAUGUAUCAUUAUAGUGAAUUAUUGAUUUGUAACAAGACAUUUUAAAGACAUCCAACUACAAAUUCUUAGAACCAUUAUAAAUAUUAUUUUAGAAGCAAUUAAUACUCGUAAAAUUUGGAAAUUGUGUAGUAUAAUGACGCUAACACGACAAAAGUAUUUUAUGUUCU